UACGUAGGGUGCGAGCGUUAAUCGGAAUUAUUGGGCGUAAAGCGCACGUAGGCGGCUUGGCAAGUCGGAUGUGAAAUCCCUCGGCUCAACCAAGGAAGUGCAUCCGAAACUGCUGAGCUUGAGUACGAAAGAGGAUCGCGGAAUUCCCGGUGUAGAGGUGAAGUUCGUAGAUAUCGGGAGGAACACCAGUGGCGAAGGCGGCGAUCUGGGUCGAUACUGACGCUGAGGUGCGAAAGCGUGGGGAGCAAACAGG
rnacentral:rRNA from 1 species